rnacentral:misc_RNA from 1 species
GAUGAAGAACGCAGCGAAAUGCGAUAAGUAAUGUGAAUUGCAAUUCAGUGAAUCAUCGAAUCUUUGAACGCACAUUGCGCCCGCCAGUAUUCUGGCGGGCAUGCCUGUUCGAGCGUCAUUACAACCCUCAGGCCCCCGGGCCUGGCGUUGGGGAUCGGCGGAGCCCCCCGUGGGCACACGCCGUCCCCCAAAUACAGUGGCGGUCCCGCCGCAGCUUCCAUCGCGUAGUAGCUAACACCUCGCGACUGGAGAGCGGCGCGGCCACGCCGUAAAACACCCAACUCUUCUGAAGUUGACCUCGAAUCAGGUAGGAAUACCCGCUGAACUUAAGCAUAUCAAUAAGCGGAGGA